rnacentral:rRNA from 1 species
AAUUUGGAAAAUGGGGGGAACCCCUAAUCAACCAAUCCGCGGGUUAGGAGGAAGCCCUCGGGUUGUUAAGGUACUUUGGCCGAGAAGAAAAGGCAAUCCCCAAUACGGGAUUCUGGCUACGGUAAUCGGAGAAUAAGCAACGGCUAACUACGUGCCAGGAACCGCGGUAAUACGUAGGGUGCAAGCGUUAAUCGGAAUUACUGGGCGUAAAGCGUGUGUAGGCGGUUCGGAAAGAAAGAUGUGAAAUCCCAGGGCUCAACCUUGGAACUGCAUUUUUAACUGCCGAGCUAGAGUAUGUCAGAGGGGGGUAGAAUUCCACGUGUAGCAGUGAAAUGCGUAGAUAUGUGGAGGAAUACCGAUGGCGAAGGCAGCCCCCUGGGAUAAUACUGACGCUCAGACACGAAAGCGUGGGGAGCAAACAGG